AGAGUUUGAUCCUGGCUCAGGAUGAACGCUGGCGGCGUGCUUAACACAUGCAAGUCGAGCGAAGCACUUAAGUUUGAUUCUUCGGAUGAAGACUUUUGUGACUGAGCGGCGGACGGGUGAGUAACGCGUGGGUAACCUGCCUCAUACAGGGGGAUAACAGUUAGAAAUGACUGCUAAUACCGCAUAAGACCACAGCACCGCAUGGUGCAGGGGUAAAAACUCCGGUGGUAUGAGAUGGACCCGCGUCUGAUUAGGUAGUUGGUGGGGUAACGGCCUACCAAGCCGACGAUCAGUAGCCGACCUGAGAGGGUGACCGGCCACAUUGGGACUGAGACACGGCCCAAACUCCUACGGGAGGCAGCAGUGGGGAAUAUUGCACAAUGGGGGAAACCCUGAUGCAGCGACGCCGCGUGAGUGAAGAAGUAUUUCGGUAUGUAAAGCUCUAUCAGCAGGGAAGAAAAUGACGGUACCUGACUAAGAAGCCCCGGCUAACUACGUGCCAGCAGCCGCGGUAAUACGUAGGGGGCAAGCGUUAUCCGGAUUUACUGGGUGUAAAGGGAGCGUAGACGGACUGGCAAGUCUGAUGUGAAAGGCGGGGGCUCAACCCCGGGACUGCAUUGGAAACUGUUAGUCUUGAGUGCCGGAGAGGUAAGCGGAAUUCCUAGUGUAGCGGUGAAAUGCGUAGAUAUUAGGAGGAACACCAGUGGCGAAGGCGGCUUACUGGACGGUAACUGACGUUGAGGCUCGAAAGCGUGGGGAGCAAACAGGAUUAGAUACCCUGGUAGUCCACGCC
rnacentral:rRNA from 1 species